rnacentral:rRNA from 1 species
CCUACGGGUGCAGCAGUGGGGAAUAUUGGGCAAUGGGCGCAAGCCUGACCCAGCAACGCCGCGUGAAGGAAGAAGGCCCUCGGGUUGUAAACUUCUUUUAUCAGGGACGAAGCAAGUGACGGUACCUGAUGAAUAAGCCACGGCUAACUACGUGCCAGCAGCCGCGGUAAUACGGAGGUGGCAAGCGUUAUCCGGAUUUACUGGGUGUAAAGGGCGUGUAGGCGGGAAAGCAAGUCAGAUGUGAAAACCAUGGGCUCAACCUGUGGCCUGCAUUUGAAACUGUUUGUCUUGAGUACUGGAGAGGCAGACGGAAUUCCUAGUGUAGCGGUGAAAUGCGUAGAGAUGAGGAGGAACACCAGUGGCGAAGGCGGUCUGCUGGACAGCAACUGACGCUGAGGCGCGAAAGCGUGGGGAGCAAACAGGAUUAGAUACCCGUGUAGUC